GAACAGACAUCUAGGACAGUCCAGUUUAUUUGCCGAGGAUUUCUCUUGGAAAAGAAUGCAGACUCGCAUUUUGCAUUCAGAAACUG